rnacentral:lncRNA from 1 species
CCAGAUUGUCCUCUAUGAGUGGUCCCUGGGUCCUGGGAGUGAGGGCAAACAUGUGGUCAUGCAGGCAAUACAGACGCCAUACCUUCAUUUAUCUGCAAUGCAGGAAGGAGAUUAUACAUUUCAGCUGAAGGUGACAGAUUCUUCAAGGCAACAGUCUACUGCUGUGGUGACUGUGAUUGUCCAGCCUGAAAACAAUAGACCUCCAGUGGCUGUGGCCGG